GAUCCGUGCAGUUGCCAUUGCAUCAGUGUGACUAAAGCCCUAGAUUUCACAGUGAGGAUUGGAAGUCCCCAGAAAAUUUGAACUUCGUGAAGGAAUGUUAGCUUAAAAACAAACACUGUUAAAAAACCCUACUGACCUCACACAUGUCCCAUGCUUCAGGACUUGGUGGAUUAUCAGGACUGGAAGGAAUGAAACCUACAGAAACUACCCAGUGCUUGGCAAUGCAGUGGAAGAUCAUCAUCUCUGAAUCUGUGUUCCUUAAGAUCAGUAGGCUGCUUUUGCUAAAGCAAACAAGACAGUGCUGCAUUUGCUCAUUGUGAACCUAAUCGACUCCUUGUCAACUGGAUCUGAACUAAAUUGCAAAGCAAAUCCCCGUCUUCAGGGUUUUUCUUGGAAUGACGAUUCCAGGGCAUGUCUAUACUGCUGCAGUCCUGCACUUGCCUGCUGCUAUUGCUGCAUUUAUCAAGAACAUGUCAUGUUACCUCUGGUUAACUUAAAGAAAUCACAGCAGUUCUGACACAUGUUGCCACCCACUUUAUAAUCUGUAUAGAUGCAAUUAGAAUUGAUUGAGCCACUGCAAACAACCAAAGGCAAAACAAAGGUUUCCCAGUAUAUACUUAAUUAAGAUGAUCUAUAAAUAUGGAUUAGGUUAAAAGGCCUUUGAGAUGUGUGCUUGCAUUGUGGUAUGUCUGCUGAUGCAGACAACCCUUUCAAAGAGGUGGCUGCAGCUAGAGGGUAGAGGGACCAGAAGCUGGUGGUUAAGGUCCCUGGCCUGCUGUGGAGCAGCAGAGAUCAGAAGCCUCAUGUCCAGGGCAUGUGAUCAAGCUAGGAACUGAACAGGAAAGGUCUCUCUUGAGGCAAAAAAGGAGGAUGGUUUUCUUUACUGCCCUCCUUGUUUGAAGGAAGAAGGCUUUUAUUCAUUCAUUUACUUACUUAUUUUCAUUCCUGGGUUUAUUAUCAGGUUGAGGAUUAGGGCUUUUUCUACCCCAGAAGUGAAUCUGCCCACUGGCUCACAGUAAUCUAUUCAGCUUUAAUAAAACAGGCAAACUUGAAGGCACCCUCAAGCCAGAGGAUCUGCUGGAGGCAGAGCUGAUCAGUGACACAACUCAAACCAGAGAAAAGAUGUAGAUUUGGAUGACUGGAGGGGGAAGAGGAGCAAGAAAGAAUAAGUAACUUUAGAUUACAGACGUUCCACUGAAAUAGCUUUGGAAGCAUUGUUUACAGUGGAAAUAACCCCAAACCUCCCAGCCUACUCAGUAAUUCCAUGUAAGAUCUGAUCUCUUAUAGAUCCAGGUUUUGAAAAGGUCAAUGAAUCUAUGUUUCUAAACCAAUUCACAUUCUGUUAGUUACGCACAUCUGGACACAGUAUCAAAGAAAAAACUUGUUCUUGAUUUCCCUUUGCAGGGACUUGAGACCAAAAUUAAUACAUAAAUAGGAAUAGAAAAAUGAAUAAAC